UAACGGUCCUAAGGUAGCGAAAUUCCUUGUCGGGUAAGUUCCGACCUGCACGAAUCGUGUAACGAUGCCGGCACUGUCUCAACGUGGAUCUCGGCGAAGUUGUAAUUCCGGUGAAAAUGCCGGAUACCUGCGGAAGGACGGAAAGACCCCAUGAACCUUUACUGUAAUCUGAUAUUGGUAUUUGAUUGCUCUUGUGUAGCAUAGGUGGGAGGCAGUGAAACCGCUACGCCAGUACCGGUGGAGCCACAGGUGAAAUACCACCCUGGUGAAAUUGAAUAUCUAACCUUGUUCCGUGAAUCCGGAAAAGGGACCGUGUCAGAGGGUCAGUUUGACUGGGGCGGUUUCCUCCAAAAUUGUAACGGAGGAGCCCGAAGGUACACUCAACGCGGUUGGCAAUCGUGUGUAGAGCGUAAGGGUAGAAGUGUGCUUUACUGUAAGAUCGACGGAUCGAGCAGUUACGAAAGUAGGGCCUAGUGAUCCAGCGAUGGAAUGUGGAAUCGUCGUUGCUCAACGGAUAAAAGGUACUCUGGGGAUAACAGGCUGAUAGCGCCCAAGCGUCCAUAGCGACGGCGCUGUUUGGCACCUCGAUGUCGGCUCAUCACAUCCUGGGGCUGUAGAAGGUCCCAAGGGUCCGGCUGUUCGCCGGUUAAAGUGGUACGCGAGUUGGGUUCAGAACGUCGUAAGACAGUUCGGUCCUUAUCCUCCGCAGGCGCAGGAUAUUUGAUGGGAUCAUUCCUUAGUACGAGAGGACCGGGAAUGACUGACCUCUGGUGUUCCGGUUGUGGCGUCAGCUGCAUUGCCGGGUAGCUAUGUCGGGAACGGAUAAGCGCUGAAAGCAUCUAAGCGCCAAGCCCACCCAAAGACGAGAUAUCCCUCCCCGCAAGGGGCUGAAGGCCGGUCAAAGACUAUGACCUUGAUAGGAUGGCGGUGUAAGUACAGCAAUGUAUUCAGCUUACCAUUACUAAUCGGCCGUGAGGCUUAACCAC
rnacentral:rRNA from 1 species